rnacentral:rRNA from 1 species
CCGAAAGCUAUUUAGGUAGCGCCUCGUGAAUUCAUCUCCGGGGGUAGAGCACUGUUUCGGCAAGGGGGUCAUCCCGACUUACCAACCCGAUGCAAACUGCGAAUACCGGAGAAUGUUAUCACGGGAGACACACGGCGGGUGCUAACGUCCGUCGUGAAGAGGGAAACAACCCAGACCGCCAGCUAAGGUCCCAAAGUCAUGGUUAAGUGGGAAACGAUGUGGGAAGGCCCAGACAGCCAGGAUGUUGGCUUAGAAGCAGCCAUCAUUUAAAGAAAGCGUAAUAGCUCACUGGUCGAGUCGGCCUGCGCGGAAGAUGUAACGGGGCUAAACCAUGCACCGAAGCUGCGGCAGCGACGCUGAUGCGUUGUUGGGUA